AGCUGGAAGUCCCUACUACCAUGGAGGCUGUGGUUGGGGCAGGCAAUGAAUGUUUUCGAACAACGGAAACCAUCUCUGUCCCCACAAGAUCCUGCCUGAGUAUAUCAGGGGAUUGUUGGUGAGGCCAGAGAUUGGUAGAUGUAUUCUGUAGUGGCUUUUCUUUUUCCAAGGGAUUAACAAAGAACUGAUUAUAAAAAAAGUAUUGAAAGAUGAGAAAAAAAGGAAAAGAGAGAAUAAGGAAUCCGGAACUCUAUGUUAAAUGCUAACCAUCAUCGUUUUGGAGUGACAAUGAAUGGCUUCCAAGCUUCUAUUUGAAGAAUAGAGGAAGCAAAAGCAAGUUGUCGUCUAGAAAGCCUGCCCACACCUUCAUCUUGGACUUCCCAGCUUCCAGAACUGCGAGAAAUAAAUUUCUGUUCUGUACAAAUUACAUUUUCAGGUAUGGUAUAGUAGUAGCACAAACAGACUAAGACAGCCCUUCAUUUUCUGAAUGUGAAGAUAUAUGGCAAGACAGUUUCAGAGCCUUGAUCUCAAAUGUGCAGUUAUUUUUCACUCUCAGCU